rnacentral:pre_miRNA from 1 species
AUCACCUAGGAAUCCUGUUAAAUUGCAUACUUUGAUUCAGAAGUUUUGGGGCUGGACCUGAAACUCUGCGUUUCUAACAAGUUCCCAGGUGCUGCUGA